rnacentral:rRNA from 1 species
CCUACGAGGGGCUGCAGUGGGGAAUAUUGGACAAUGGGGGCAACCCUGAUCCAGCCAUGCCGCGUGUGUGAAGAAGGCCCUCGGGUUGUAAAGCACUUUCAGUGAGGAAGAACGCCUGGUGGUUAAUACCCAUCAGGAAAGACAUCACUCACAGAAGAAGCACCGGCUAACUCCGUGCCAGCAGCCGCGGUAAUACGGAGGGUGCGAGCGUUAAUCGGAAUUACUGGGCGUAAAGCGCGCGUAGGUGGCUUGAUAAGCCGGUUGUGAAAGCCCCGGGCUCAACCUGGGAACGGCAUCCGGAACUGUCAAGCUAGAGUGCAGGAGAGGAAGGUAGAAUUCCCGGUGUAGCGGUGAAAUGCGUAGAGAUCGGGAGGAAUACCAGUGGCGAAGGCGGCCUUCUGGACUGACACUGACACUGAGGUGCGAAAGCGUGGGUAGCAAACAGGAUUAGAUACCCCAGUAGUC